GUUUUGCGACAUCGUGUUAAUUAUGUGCUUCAGUAUAGCAACCUGUCCAUUUUUACUCCACUAAGCCUAUAUGUCUAUAACUAACUGACUGACACAUGUCCCGCUGCUGUUGCAGUCAACCACCUUGGACAUGGUGAAGCAGUGGGCCACAGAUGUGGGCGGUGGAGAUUGCAACAGCCAUGAUGACAGCAAAGGCCGCCUCAAAGCGCAGCAGUUCUGCGCCUGAUGUCGUCUUGACCUAAGCGGAUCUCCCCUUCAUGGAAACAAAGGCGAAGGGGAAGGGGGGCAAGAAACGACGGUGGUAAUGGAUGCACGUUUAUUUUGGGACGAAUGCACAUGUAAUGUGAUGAACAGCUGCAUUGUCUUCUUUUGUGGAGGUGCCUUUUCUUAGGGCUGAAAGCACGUUCGUAUCACAUGAUCAUGACCCGUGUCUUGAGACGGCUUGGCUUAUAAGCAAAUCCAUCUCAAGACACGGCUGAUCACGUGAUAAGAACACGCCUUCCUAGUUAAGAUUGGAGGUGCGUCCAUAUGACGUGAUGGACAGUUAUUAUGGAGACGGCUUCGUUUUGGGCUGAAAGGGGCCUUCAGAUCACGUGAUGUGCAUGGUUCAUUUUAUGGAGACUACUUGGUUUUGUAAUGAAGGGGCAUUCAGACCGUAGGGAUUGUUCAUUCUGAACUCCCUUCAUUCUGCAAUGAAGAGGUCUUCAUUCCAAAAUGACCUGGUGCCCUCGAUUUGGAUGUGAAAUGAAGGGUCGAAAUGAAGGGAUGAAAUGAAUGUGAAUCGAAUGUGAAUCGAGUAUAGAAUGAAGGCUCCAGGUUCCCAGAGUGAGAGACACUGAGGCACUAUAUUUCGCCCACUCAGGAUGAUUGGGACGAACACCUGCCACUCAUUGAGUUCGCUAUUAAUAACUCGAGGCAGAGCUCAACGGGUGCCACCCCGUUUAGCCUUAAUGGUAUCAAGCAGCCACAUGUGCUGGUUGACUUGCACCUGAAAACCAAAGUGCCUGCCGCUGACCUCUAUCCCAAGGUCAUGCACAAACGUAUUGGACCGCAAAACUUAAGGCUGUGCAAUCCCGCCAGUGCAAUGUCGUCGACAAGCACCGGCAUGUGGUGCGUUUUGAGGUUGGGGAAUCCGUGCUGCUCAGCACCCGCAACAUCCAGUUGAAAUCUCCUGGAGCAAAGAAAUUAUUGCCUAAGUUUAUUGGGCCAUAUAAGGUUGUCACUCGAGUGGGAGAGAAUGCGGUAAUAUUGUGAUUACCCGCGACUUCCCGACUCCAUCCAGUCUUCCACGUAUCCUUGCUCAAACCAUUCAAGGACGAUGGAACACGACAACCGCCGCCCCCGUUCAUAAUUGAUGAAGAGCCAUAUUACAUGGUCGAGGCACUACUUGACCACCGUGAUGUGAAAAUCCGAGGUGGAACCGGCAAAACACGUCGAGAAUAUCUGGUUAAAUGGGAAGGCUAUGACUCCAGUCAUAACACCUAUGAGCUGGAAGAUUCCCUGCAUCAGUCCGUUCCCCUGGCCAAAGCUAUUGACGACUAUGAACGACGGUUGGCAGCAAAGUCGGGGCAACCUACACCAAAAAGAAAAGUGGUCCUGACCACCUCUCCUUUGGUAGCACCCCAGAACACUACCCCAGAACAACCGAAACGGAAAGCACCUGCUCUCAAGAAAAGGUGACACUCCUGGAACGGUUCACUUCUGAGGGGGAGGGAUGUAGCAAGCUUAGGGUUGGCCGGAAGUUUAGAUUUAGAAAUUAAUUUAGAUGCCAUCUAAUUAGAUUUCUAUAUAGAUUUUAGAUGAGCCUAUCUAAACCGUUUAGAUGGCAUCUAAACGUAUCUAGUCCAUCUAAUGCCUAUCUAAAGGCCGGUGACCGGAUCCAGACCGUUUAAAUGUGAGUCAUGGCACGCGAAACAGCUAUGUCGAAUGUAACUUUAGUGUCAUAUCCUUGCUCCGCUCUAUUACAUACACAAAUAGAUGUAAAAAUACACAAUGGCAGAACCAGGACCCCCAAAGCCGAUCACAUACAAAUACAACUACCAGACUUUCGACGCGCCACAGUACACAGUGAAGCUCUGCGAAGCCAAGCGCAGCAUCAAAGCCGCAGCGUACUGGUCCAUCUUCGACGUGUUGCUCGUAAAAGGCGUUGUGAACCUCGUCUGCACCGUUUGCAACAAGUCCUAUAGCGCGAAGAACCCGUCAGCUGUCUGCCCGGAUCACUAUGCGAAGCACCAGAAGGACGUCGCCAGCGCGGUCGGAAGCGAGCAGUCCGGGGCGCCCACAACCAACAGCACGAAGCGCUCGCGCGCGGAGGAGGGGCCAGUUCGGACCUUCUUCCUCGCUGCAGUGCAAAUCGCCACCUUCCUGAAGCACCUGGCUCUUUUCUUCUUCAAGUGCAACAUCGCCCUCCAACUGAUCGAGCACCCCGACCUCGUGAAGGCGUGCAAGGCUGUUGGCAUCACCCUCCCCAGCCGCAAGAAGCUUGCCUCGACCGUGCUUGACGAGGCAUACAGUGAGGUGUCGAAAGACGUUGCGGCAGUUUGCGAGCGGUCGGGUCAGCUAGCCGUCCUCUCAACCGACGGCUGGAAGAGCCGCUUUGCCCUCAACGCCACCCCCCUCAUCAAUGUCUGCAAGCUGCUGCUAGACCGGGCGGUGUUCUGCAAAGUCGUUCCAGCUGCGGGCCAGGAGAAGACAGCGAGGUGGAUUGCGGACACGCACAUCCAGCUUGCUGAGAGGCCCGACGGUGUGUUCAAUGGCGAGGGCGACAGAACAGAGCCCGACAGCUUUGCAUCCCAAUGCGGGCGUGUCCCGCAUGUCGGCACGUGUACUUUGGUGGUUCCGUUUGCAGUUGGGCCGACGGUUGGGCCGCAGGGCGCCUAAUUACACCCCCUGGCGCCAUCCGACACGCGUCUGUAGAGCGCCCAUAGGGGUUCGCCGUGUUCCCAGUGUCGAGCGGCCCAAAAAAUAAUUGGAAAAUCCAGGAAAAGAUAAAGCCGCAUCGUGUGCAAAAUUUCAGGUCAAAAUUCCACCGUUUAGGCAGUUUUCCGUUUGCCCAUCUAAAGAUUUACCUAAUUAGAUUAGGUAUCUAAUUAGAUUUCUAAUUAGAUACUUUUUCCAUCUAAAGAUUUUGCCAACCCUAAGCAAGCUACAUUUACCUUAGAAAGCUAUUAAUGCUUAAUCACAGUAACGGUACGGUCCCGUAGUUAUGAACCAUACUCGUUAACUGUAUGAACUCACUUUCUGUUGCGCUAUCACAACCUAGUGUACGACACCAAGACUCCAGGAAUGGAGAUGGCAGCAGGUGGGCCGCAUUUAACCACCCAGGUGAAGUGCUUCGGCCAGACACUUCUGUAUCACUAUACUAGUGUUCAGGGUUCAAGACCUUGCUGACUUCCUGUGUCUUUUCUCAUGUCUAACGCUGAGCCGUCAAUCGUGGUCGAGACCCUCCUCUUCCACGGCCUUACAUCUCAAGUCUUCCGCUAAAAUGCCUAAGGUAAGAGAUGGCUGUUACAGGCAAUCCUACAGGUCGGGACCACCCUGGGCGCUUCAUGCUGGGGCCCCGCCCAAAAAGGGGGUGCUGAAAAACUGGCUGUAAAGGAGGUCCAGAUCCAUAUCAUGUGCCUGUUGGAGGAGCAUAAGGAGACCCAGUUCCAGACAGUUGUCACCAGGAUGGCAAAGGAGCUCAAGGAUGCACAGACCGUCAUUCGGAGCCAAGAAGCCAGCAUCAGCAUGCUCACGUGGGUUCUCUCUUGGCACAUGCAUGUUGCUGCAGCCAGAUGGGCGGUGUUACCCACACCAUGUGCAGGGUUCUUUAGAUUCCACCCAUGCACCACUGCUGGUUUGUGAUCCCAUGUAAGGAGCACUCAUUGGGUGGCGACACUGAUGCGGUUCACGAGGCGAUUCAGAGCUUCUACGAGGUGCAGAACGCCAAGGCCAGGGCACAGGGAAUGGAUGAUGCCUAUUUGGGCCCUGGAGCUCUCAUCCACAGCAUUCCCAGGCAGCUGUUGGAAUGAUGACCAGGAUAUUCAUCUUGCAGAUACCUUAGUCGAGCGAUGAGCUCGUCCUUUGACUUUAGCUCCUCUUCCUUUGGCUUGAGCGUUUGCAUCAUUAUGAUUUCGUGCGCCACCAACGCAUUGGGACCUCCGGCGAUGAUCCUUUUACGCAAUUCAUCCUCGUUAAGUUGUUUAUCCGUUGCGGGGCAAUGUAU
rnacentral:lncRNA from 1 species